rnacentral:rRNA from 1 species
AGUGAACGCUGGCGGCAGGCCUAACACAUGCAAGUCGAACGGCAGCACAAGAGAGCUUGCUCUCUGGGUGGCGAGUGGCGGACGGGUGAGGAAUGCAUCGGAAUCUGCCCAUUUGUGGGGGAUAACCUCGGGAAACCGGGACUAAUACCGCAUACGACCUACGGGUGAAAGCAGGGGAUCUUCGGACCUUGCGCAGAUGGAUGAGCCGAUGCCGGAUUAGCUAGUUGGAGGGGUAAAGGCCCACCAAGGCGACGAUCCGUAGCUGGUCUGAGAGGAUGAUCAGCCACACUGGGACUGAGACACGGCCCAGACUCCUACGGGAGGCAGCAGUGGGGAAUAUUGGACAAUGGGCGCAAGCCUGAUCCAGCCAUGCCGCGUGUGUGAAGAAGGCCUUCGGGUUGUAAAGCACUUUUGUUGGGAAAGAAAAGCAGCCGGUUAAUACCCGGUUGUCAUGACGGCACCCAAAGAAUAAGCACCGGCUAACUUCGUG